GACGAACGCUGGCGGCGUGCCUAAUACAUGCAAGUUGAGCGAUGAAGAUUGGUGCUUGCACCAAUUUGAAGAGCAGCGAACGGGUGAGUAACGCGUGGGGAAUCUGCCUUUGAGCGGGGGACAACAUUUGGAAACGAAUGCUAAUACCGCAUAAUAACUUUAAACAUAAGUUUUAAGUUUGAAAGAUGCAAUUGCAUCACUCAAAGAUGAUCCCGCGUUGUAUUAGCUAGUUGGUGAGGUAAAGGCUCACCAAGGCGAUGAUACAUAGCCGACCUGAGAGGGUGAUCGGCCACAUUGGGACUGAGACACGGCCCAAACUCCUACGGGAGGCAGCAGUAGGGAAUCUUCGGCAAUGGACGAAAGUCUGACCGAGCAACGCCGCGUGAGUGAAGAAGGUUUUCGGAUCGUAAAACUCUGUUGGUAGAGAAGAACGUUGGUGAGAGUGGAAAGCUCAUCAAGUGACGGGAACUACCCAGAAAAGGACGGCUAACUACGU
rnacentral:rRNA from 1 species